rnacentral:misc_RNA from 1 species
CAGCUUUGGACCCGUGUCUGCCGGUAGGCCCCCCGUCUCUGUGCGGCCGACUACCGGCGCCGUGUCCCGUCAUUCGUGUGGCUUAUGUUACUGUUGCCUUUAAGUGCUUGCGUGCUGGUACCCGACCUACGGGAAGUGGUGCUUCAUACACGGUUGCCUCGCGGUGGACGCCUUUGGGUGUGCUGCUGCGGCCGAAUGGCGCUUGCGGCGUUGCCUCGUGGUGCUGGCACGUUUUUGUGCCUGGUGCUAUCAAGGCAGCCUCGUUCCCGCUGUUGGUUUCGGAUGUCGCUCACAAUAAAAGCUCAUGGCCCUUAUGGUUGCCUUGAACUGACCCUAAAUAUUGGCCCGCUCAAUUGCGACAACUGGCCUGGCGGUUGCCUCUGCCUUUCCACGCAAGUGGACGGGCGAACAACUACCGGCGCUGGACGUCAAAGAGG